rnacentral:rRNA from 1 species
UAGGGAAUCUUCCGCAGUGGGCGAAAGCCUGACGGAGCAACGCCGCGUGAGUGAAGAAGGAUUUCGGUUCGUAAAGCUCUGUUGUUAGGGAAGAAUGAUUGUGUAGUAACUAUACACAGUAGAGACGGUACCUAACCAGAAAGCCACGGCUAACUACGUGCCAGCAGCCGCGGUAAUACGUAGGUGGCAAGCGUUGUCCGGAAUUAUUGGGCGUAAAGCGCGCGCAGGUGGUUUAAUAAGUCUGAUGUGAAAGCCCACGGCUCAACCGUGGAGGGUCAUUGGAAACUGUUAAACUUGAGUGCAGGAGAGAAAAGUGGAAUUCCUAGUGUAGCGGUGAAAUGCGUAGAGAUUAGGAGGAACACCAGUGGCGAAGGCGGCUUUUUGGCCUGUAACUGACACUGAGGCGCGAAAGCGUGGGGAGCAAACAGGAUUAGAUACCCUGGUAGUUCACGCCGUAAACGAUGAGUGCUAAGUGUUGGUCUCAUAAGAGAUCAGUGCUGCAGCUAACGCAUUAAGCACUCCGCCUGGGGAGUACGACCGCAAGGUUG